UGGGGAAUAUUGUNNAAUGGACCGAGAGUCUGAUCCAGCAAUUCUGUGUGCACGAUCCAAGUUUUUCGGAAUGUAAAGUGCUUUCAGUUGGGAAGAAAGAAAUGACGGUACCAACAGAAGAAGUGACGGCUAAAUACGUACCAGCAGCCGCGGUAAUACGUAUGUCACGAGCGUUAUCCGGAUUUAUUGGGCGUAAAGCGCGUCUAGGUGGUUAUAUAAGUCUGAUGUGAAAAUGCAGGGCUCAACUCUGUAUUGCGUUGGAAACUGUAUAACUAGAGUACUGGAGAGGUAAGCGGAACUACAAGUGUAGAGGUGAAAUUCGUAGAUAUUUGUAGGAAUGCCGAUGGGGAAGCCAGCUUACUGGACAGAUACUGACGCUGAAGCGCGAAAGCGUGGGUAGCAAACAGGAUUAGAUACCCUGGUAGUCCACGCUGUAAACGAUGAUUACUAGGUGUUGGGGGUCGAACUUCAGCGCCCAAGCAAACGCGAUAAAGUAAUCCGCCUGGGGAGUACGUACGCAAGUAUGAA
rnacentral:rRNA from 1 species